rnacentral:rRNA from 1 species
GACGAACGCUGGCGGCGUGCUUAACACAUGCAAGUCGAGCGGUAAGGCCCUUUCGGGGGUACACGAGCGGCGAACGGGUGAGUAACACGUGGGUGACCUGCCUUUAGCUCUGGGAUAAGCCUGGGAAACCGGGUCUAAUACCGGAUAUGACUCCGCGGCGCAUGUUGUGGGGUGGAAAGCCUUGUGCGGCUGGAGAUGGGCCCGCGGCCUAUCAGCUUGUUGGUGGGGUGAUGGCCUACCAAGGCGACGACGGGUAGCCGGCCUGAGAGGGCGACCGGCCACACUGGGACUGAGACACGGCCCAGACUCCUACGGGAGGCAGCAGUGGGGAAUCUUGCGCAAUGGGCGAAAGCCUGACGCAGCGACGCCGCGUGAGGGAUGACGGCCUUC